rnacentral:tRNA from 2 species
GCCCGAGUAGCUCAGACGGCAGAGCAACGCACUCGUAAUGCGUAGGUCAGGAGUUCGAUUCUCCUCUCGGGCU